CUUGAACUCCUCGACUCAAGCAAUCCCCCUGCCUCAGUCUCCUAAACAGUUGGGAUUACAGGUCUUCCUUCACUGCUGUCUGAGUUGAAUCUUCUGUUUCCUGGAUCCCAUGUGUUCCCCUCUCUGCCAUCGCAAAUCCCCAAGGAACUUCCCCGGAAGAGCUCAACUGUGGUUCAGCGAGUCCAGGCAGGGCCUGGCUGCGCUUGACUCUGGACUGCGGAUCAGCUCCCGGUCUGCUCCAACCGUCUUUUGUCCCACGUGAACCAGCAGCUGCCGGACAGAUGCCUCUCUUGGUGAAAGACACACCAAGCCCACAGCAAACAUAUUUCAAGUUUCUGCUGGGUCACAUCUGUUUCCAUCUGAUUAGCCGAAGCAAGUCACACGGCUAAGCCCAACAGCAAUGAGGCCAGGAAGUGCGCCCCUCCCACAGAGCUCAGGGGAAAGGAGUGAAUAUCUGCUAGGUAAUAAUACAAUCUUCCACAGCGUGUAGUUCUAAAAAUGUCUUUAUUCCAGGCCAGGCACGGUGGCUCACACCUUGUAA